CGAGUGGCGGACGGGUGAGGAAUACAUCGGAAUCUACUCUUUCGUGGGGGAUAACGUAGGGAAACUUACGCUAAUACCGCAUACGACCUACGGGUGAAAGCGGAGGACCUUCGGGCUUCGCGCGAUUGAAUGAGCCGAUGUCGGAUUAGCUAGUUGGCGGGGUAAAGGCCCACCAAGGCGACGAUCCGUAGCUGGUCUGAGAGGAUGAUCAGCCACACUGGAACUGAGACACGGUCCAGACUCCUACGGGAGGCAGCAGUGGGGAAUAUUGGACAAUGGGCGCAAGCCUGAUCCAGCCAUGCCGCGUGGGUGAAGAAGGCCUUCGGGUUGUAAAGCCCUUUUGUUGGGAAAGAAAAGCAGUCGGUUAAUACCCGAUUGUUCUGACGGUACCCAAAGAAUAAGCACCGGCUAACUUCGUGCCAGCAGCCGCGGUAAUACGAAGGGUGCAAGCGUUACUCGGAAUUACUGGGCGUAAAGCGUGCGUAGGUGGUGGUUUAAGUCUGUUGUGAAAGCCCUGGGCUCAACCUGGGAAUUGCAGUGGAUACUGGGUCACUAGAGUGUGGUAGAGGGUAGCGGAAUUCCCGGUGUAGCAGUGAAAUGCGUAGAGAUCGGGAGGAACAUCCGUGGCGAAGGCGGCUACCUGGACCAACACUGACACUGAGGCACGAA
rnacentral:rRNA from 1 species